rnacentral:misc_RNA from 1 species
UCCGGUUUGUCACCGGCAGUCUCAUUAGAGUGCCCUUUCGUAGCAACUAAUGACAAGGGUUGCGCUCGUUGCGGGACUUAACCCAACAUCUCACGACACGAGCUGACGACAGCCAUGCAGCACCUGUGUUCCGGUUCCCUUUCAGGCACACCCAGCUCUCACCAGGCUUCCAGACAUGUUAAGGGUAGGUAAGGUUGUUCGCGUUGCAUCGAAUUAAUCCACAUCAUCCACCGCUUGUGCGGGUCCCCGUCAAUUCCUUUGAGUUUUAACCUUGCGGCCGUACUCCCCAGGCGGUCGACUUCACGCGUUAGCUACGGUACUGGGAAAUCGCUUCCCCAACACCCAGUCGACAUCGUUUAGGGCGUGGACUAC